rnacentral:rRNA from 1 species
CCUGAUCCAGCCAUGCCGCGUGUGUGAAGAAGGCCUUUUGGUUGUAAAGCACUUUAAGCAGUGAAGAAGACCUAACGGUUAAUACCCGUUAGCGAUGACAUUAGCUGCAGAAUAAGCACCGGCUAACUCUGUGCCAGCAGCCGCGGUAAUACAGAGGGUGCAAGCGUUAAUCGGAAUUACUGGGCGUAAAGCGAGCGUAGGUGGCUUGAUAAGUCAGAUGUGAAAUCCCCGGGCUUAACCUGGGAACUGCAUCUGAAACUGUUAGGCUAGAGUAGGUGAGAGGGAAGUAGAAUUUCAGGUGUAGCGGUGAAAUGCGUAGAGAUCUGAAGGAAUACCGAUGGCGAAGGCAGCUUCCUGGCAUCAUACUGACACUGAGGCUCGAAAGCGUGGGUAGCAAACAGGAUUAGAUACCCUGGUAGUCCACGCCGUAAACGAUGUCUACUAGUCGUUGGGUCCCUUGAGGACUUAGUGACGCAGCUAACGCAAUAAGUAGACCGCCUGGG